GGGUUGUGAGGUUAAGCGACUAAGCGUACACGGUGGAUGCCCUGGCAGUCAGAGGCGAUGAAGGACGUGCUAAUCUGCGAUAAGCGCCGGUAAGGUGAUAUGAACCGUUAUAACCGGCGAUUUCCGAAUGGGGAAACCCAGUGUGACUCGUCACACUAUCAUUAACUGAAUCCAUAGGUUAAUGAGGCGAACCGGGGGAACUGAAACAUCUAAGUACCCCGAGGAAAAGAAAUCAACCGAGAUUCCCCCAGUAGCGGCGAGCGAACGGGGAGGAGCCCAGAGCCUGAAUCAGCAUGUGUGUUAGUGGAA
rnacentral:rRNA from 1 species